rnacentral:lncRNA from 1 species
GCUUCUACUGGUGAUAUGGGAAGGGCCCACUCACUGAACUAACUCCCUUCCCUCUACUCCCAGAGCCCGCCCGGCAGGACCACCGAGCAAGGCCUUGGAAAACCAGAGAGAUUAGAGCGCAGAAUGGGGAAAUGGAGAGAGAACCUGAAAGAGCCCCAAACUCGAGGACCUAUUGCUCCCCAAGAAUAACAUCUUCCAGAAGAACUAGACAGAAAACUAGGCGUCUGGGAACUCUGAAAUCCUUGGAGGAGUAGCAUCAUCAUGACCCUCUGUGUUCCUUUUGGCAAAGGACUUGCUCCCAUUGUUUGCUUGUUCCAUUGUCUGUCUGUUAAAUAAAUAAAACCCUUUUCAUAUAUCUUUAAACUUA